rnacentral:rRNA from 1 species
UAGUCCACGCCGUAAACGAUGGAUACUAGCCGUCGGGGCAAUACGCUUCGGUGGCGACGCUAACGCAUUAAGUAUCCCGCCUGGGGAGUACGGUCGCAAGAUUAAAACUCAAAGGAAUUGACGGGGACCCGCACAAGCGGAGCAUGUUGCUUAAUUCGAUGCAACGCGGGGAACCUUACCAGGGCUUAAAUGUAAGUUGCAUGAUUUAGAGAUAGAUCUUUCUUCGGACUACUUACAAGGUGCUGCAUGGUUGUCGUCAGCUCGUGCCGUGAGGUGUCAGGUUAAGUCCUAUAACGAGCGCAACCCCUACCGUUAGUUGCCAGCAUGUUAUGAUGGGGACUCUAGCGGGACUGCCGGUGCAAACCGAGAGGAAGGUGGGGAUGACGUCAAAUCAUCACGGCCCUUACGUCCUGGGCUACACACGUGCUACAAUGGUAACGACAGAGGGCAGCCACCCCGCGAGGGGGAGCGGAAUCCUUAAACGUUAUCUCAGUUCGGAUCGGAGUCUGCAACUCGACUCCGU